rnacentral:rRNA from 1 species
UGGGGAAUCUUCCGCAAUGGACGAAAGUCUGACGGAGCAACGCCGCGUGAGUGAUGACGGCCUUCGGGUUGUAAAGCUCUGUUAAUCGGGACGAAUGGUUCUUGUGCAAAUAGUGCGAGGAUUUGACGGUACCGGAAUAGAAAGCCACGGCUAACUACGUGCCAGCAGCCGCGGUAAUACGUAGGUGGCAAGCGUUGUCCGGAAUUAUUGGGCGUAAAGCGCGCGCAGGCGGAUUGGUCAGUCUGUCUUAAAAGUUCGGGGCUUAGCCCCGUGAUGGGAUGGAAACUGCCAAUCUAGAGUAUCGGAGAGGAAAGUGGAAUUCCUAGUGUAGCGGUGAAAUGCGUAGAUAUUAGGAAGAACACCAGUGGCGAAGGCGACUUUCUGGACGAAAACUGACGCUGAGGCGCGAAAGCCAGGGGAGCGAACGGGAUUAGAUACCCCGGUAGUCCUGGCCGUAAACGAUGGGUACUAGGUGUAGGAGGUAUCGACCCCUUCUGUGCCGGAGUUAACGCAAUAAGUACCCCGCCUGGGGAGUACGACCGCAAGGUUG